rnacentral:rRNA from 1 species
UUGCACGCUGGCGGCAUGCUUUACCCAUGCAAGUCGCACGGCAGCGCGGGCUUCGGCCUGGCGGCGAGUGGCGAACGGGUGAGUAAUGCAUCGGAACGUGCCCAGUAGUGGGGGAUAGCCCGGCGAAAGCCGGAUUAAUACCGCAUACGACCUGAGGGUGAAAGCGGGGGACCGAAAGGCCUCGCGCUAUUGGAGCGGCCGAUGUCGGAUUAGCUAGUUGGUGGGGUAAAGGCUUACCAAGGCGACGAUCCGUAGCUGGUCUGAGAGGACGACCAGCCACACUGGGACUGAGACACGGCCCAGACUCCUACGGGAGGCAGCAGUGGGGAAUUUUGGACAAUGGGGGCAACCCUGAUCCAGCCAUGCCGCGUGCGGGAAGAAGGCCUUCGGGUUGUAAACCGCUUUUGUUCGGGAAGAAAUCCUCUGAGCUAAUACCCCGGGGGGAUGACGGUACCGGAAGAAUAAGCACCGGCUAACUACGUG